rnacentral:tRNA from 1 species
GGGCGGCUAGCUCAGCUGGUUAGAGCACUUCGUUUACACCGAAGGGGUCCGGGGUUCGAAUCCUCGGCCGCCCA